ACUUCUUACCAAGAACUCCUUAACUUGAGGGUGAACAACUUAAAGCUUGAUCCUACAGUUACCUGAAAAGUGAUUUGAGUAUUCAUUGAACUGAAAGAACAAAUCGCCUACUUCAGGCGGUGGCAAGCGUAUGGAAAUUAUAUUAGAACUUCAGCAAAGUGCACAGCUGCAUAAUAGAGAAGCCGGCACUCAGAUUGACAGGCAAAUAAGCCAGCUUGUGGAAGGGGCCUCUGGGUGGCAGCUCUGGGCUUUUGGGUGUUGGACAACCAUAGGCAAAACUGAAAUGGAACAGGGGCAGAAAAUAGCACACUUUUACUCUACGCAACUGUUGCUUUUUCAUGAUCUUCAGGAAUUUUACUGGGAUAAUUAUCCAAAUAAAUUGCAAGCAUUCUAUCCAAAUGGUUCCAGGCAUGAGAAUUUUCCUGGGGGAUGGGGGAGGGAGAACAGGAACCUGGGUGAGUAAAUAAUAUGAUGCUCCAGGUUUGUUUCUCCUCAGCUGACAUUUAUCUCUUUGGCAUGAUGAAGGGUAGAUCAACGUUGACUGUAAAAACAAACACGAUUAGCACUAACGCAGCAUAUGUUAACACUGCUGCAGCCUAAUGAUGAAUGAGCUGUAAGCGAUCCCAACACCUGUUCUUGAUGAUGAUGCGUGAUACCCAACCCCAGUGGAGUAAUGAGAGCGAAGACACAGCGGUGCACAUCUCACCGAUU
rnacentral:lncRNA from 1 species